CUUUUCUUCGCCUAUAUUUCCUAUCGCUUCGAGUAACCAGCGAUAUUAAGAAACUCGACUCACCGAUGGCGCAACAGAGGAUCAACAGCGCAGCUACUCGAGACGCUCUCAUGGUGGAUUUCCUUUCUGGAAUACUCGCGAUGGAAGUGCACCAAAGCGUUUUCCUCUCGUCACGUCAUACCAGGCUGUCUCGCGAA